UAUUUGCUUGUUUAAGAAGCUUUGAUUUGUUUUAAACCUUUGUUUUAAUAUCUUGUAACUUGAUUUAAUCAAGGAAUUGAAUCAAGGGGUAAGGUUUGUUGGUGAGCCAAAGGGAAAACCAACGGUGUUAGGUUGUGGUUGGUGAGCCUUUGGAAAAACCAACUGGGUUGAUUGUGAACCCGGAAAACAAUCGUUGUAAGGUUGUGGUUGGUGAGCCUGUGGGAAAACCAACUGGGUUUGAUUGUGAACCCGGAAAAACAAUCGGUUGGUUCUAGUCGGUGAGCCUGUAAAAACCGACCGAGUUCGUUGUGAUCUCGCAAAACAACAAGUUGGGUUGUGAGCUUGUAAAACAACCGGCUGUAAUCUGUAGGAUUAUAGUGAAAUU
rnacentral:lncRNA from 1 species